rnacentral:sRNA from 1 species
AACACCAAAACCUUACAAAUCCAACAUCUAUUCCACAAAAUUCAUUGUUGAUCUGCUAGAAAGGUGAGAUUUUGCCUACUUCGACCAUACAUACAUACAGAGGCGUAAUCCCGAAUCCAUCUUUGAUGAG